UACGGGGGGAGCAAGCGUUGUUCGGAUUUACUGGGCGUAAAGGGCGCGUAGGCGGGAUGGCAAGUCGGUCGUGAAAUCCCUCGGCUCAACCGAGGAACGUCGAUCGAUACUGCUGUUCUUGAGGAUUGCAGAGGAGACUGGAAUUCCCGGUGUAGCGGUGAAAUGUGUAGAGAUCGGGAGGAACACCGGUGGCGAAGGCGGGUCUCUGGGCAAUUCCUGACGCUGAGGCGCGAAAGCGUGGGGAGCAAACGGG
rnacentral:rRNA from 1 species